rnacentral:tRNA from 1 species
GCCGCUAUGGUGGAAUGGUAGACACACAACAUUCAAAAUGUUGCGGGAAAUCCCUUGUCGGUUCAAGUCCGACUAGCGGCA